UAGCCAAGACACCAGACCA
rnacentral:misc_RNA from 1 species